GGGGAUUUAGCUUAGCAGUAUAAGCACCUGCCUUACAAGUAGGCUGGGUAAGAGUUCAAUCCCUG
rnacentral:tRNA from 1 species